UGAUUCUGUCCCUUUAGCAUUCCCAGGUUUUUGGGCACCUGAGAUGCCCAAAUGAAGAUGUCAGGCUUCACUUUUAGUCUGGAGUGGGUAAUGAAGUCACAGUAAAGCCUACUCAGCUUUCUCUGAGCCUGCUGGGAGGGGGAGAAGGGGGAGGGAGUGGGCAGUUCAGCUGUUAAAUAUUUGACAAGACUGUCUCAGGAGGGCAAGUGUAUCCGGGGUGGUACAGGGACACCAGCUUGGCUCCUUGCUUUUUGGCACUACAGCUCUUGUCUUCCUGAUGCCCAUGUAUGCAAACAGGACUUUGGUAAUGGCUCAAGAGGAGACAAUCUGCUCCAGACAGGGAAGAAGGCAGAGUCUGCAGACAGUAACAGGAUCCCCUAAGCACAGAAUCAAGACGAACACCACUUCUGCAACGUUUGAACCCUUCUUUGGAGGAACGGAUUUUCUGGGAAAUCCUUCAGAAAAAACAAACAAACACACAAAAACAUCAGCAGCCUCCUCUUUCUGAGCACACUGCGGGAUAUUAUGGUUUGGCAAUGUUACACUGCAGGGCGAUAUCACAUAGGCUGAGGCAAAUGCCCUCGAAUUGCUCUCCACGUAUGUGCACCCUCAAGAACCUUCCUAUCAUCCCUGCACUUCCCAUUCCGGGCCCUGCCGUGCUACUACAUCUCCACUGAAAAACUGAUUCUGGUUUGCAGGAGCCUGGGUUUGCAGUGCUCAAACUACAAACAAUUGGUUUAACUGUAUCUUCCUCCUCUUAGAAAAUACACGAGUAUCACGAUAUGGUAUUCCCAAAAUUGAAAGUCUCUCAAUUAACUCAAUGAACUGUGUGGUACCUGGAGUUCUACAGGAUUUCUGUUGUCUAGCAGAAACACAAAGUCUCGUGUAUGGCUACAAGUACAUUGAGGCUUGAAGUUUGUGGCACAAGCAUGAUGAAAGCCCCUCUACAUAGCGUGGUGGUCUGACUAGCAGAAAGACUUCUCCUCUUCCAAAAUGAAAGGCACUGAAGAUCACAUAUUUCUUCAUACAACCAAAAUGAAUAAUGAAAGGAAAUCACACGUUUAAGUUCAAUACCACAAGCAUUUAAAAGAUCACAGCACAACAGUAUUAAAGACAUCACUUUUAAAUCUCUAGACAAAACUCUAUGAGAGCUAUUUGUUCUUAAACUCCACUGUUAAAAACUUACUUAAAAAUGCAACUUUACAGAAAAAUCACUUCAGAAAGCCUCAUUUUAAACAAAAGAUUGUAUUUUCUAACUUGAAUUACUGCAUUGCUUAUGAUCUCUCAAGCACUUGGAAGAAAAAAAAUGAGUAAACAAAAGUAAGGAAUAACUCAGCAUUGUGUAUGGUUAAGGGGAGAUUCAAGUUGAGUUUACCUGUAUCUGUAAAAGAGAAUAAAUAUAUCUUAAAGC
rnacentral:lncRNA from 12 species